CGCGGAAGGAUCAUUACCGAACUGUCAACACGAGUUGUUGCUGGUCCUCAAACGGGGACAUGUGCACGCUCUGUUUACACAUCCACUCACACCUGUGCACCCUCCAUAGUUCUGCAGCCUGGGGGCUCUGUCUCCCUGCCGUGGUUCUAUGUAUUUACACACACACUGUAGUAAAGUCUCAUGGAAUGCAUACCGCGUUUAACGCAAUAUAAUACAACUUUCAGCAACGGAUCUCUUGGCUCUCGCAUCGAUGAAGAACGCAGCGAAAUGCGAUAAGUAAUGUGAAUUGCAGAAUUCAGUGAAUCAUCGAAUCUUUGAACGCACCUUGCGCCCUUUGGCUAUUCCGAAGGGCAUGCCUGUUUGAGUAUCAUGAACACCUCAACUCUCAUGGCUUUGCCAUGAUGAGCUUGGACUUUGGGGGUCUUGCUGGCCUGUGGGUCGGCUCCUCUCAAAUGAAUUAGCUUGCCAGUGUUUGGUGGCAUCACGGGUGUGAUAACUAUCUACGCUUGUGGUUUUCCACCAGGUAACCUUCAGUGAUGAAGGUUCGCUGGGGCUCAUAAACGUCUCUCCUCAGCGAGGACAGCUCUUUGAACGUUUGAUCUCAAAUCAGGUAGGACUACCCGCUGAACUUAGCAUAUCAU
rnacentral:rRNA from 1 species